AAAAUAAUCCUACCCUUUGUGAAUUUUGUUUGUUUGAAUAAUUUUUUUUUUUUAAAAAAUUAUUGGAGUCUUUCCCUUUAGAGUUUGCUUUUGAGUUUGUAAAAGAAUUCGAAAACAUCUAAAGGGGAUGGUCAAUAAUUUUUUUUGAAAAAAGACAUUUUUUAAACUAAACUUUUUGUAUUCAUUUGUCUAAAAAUUAUUUUUAUAAUAUAAAAACAACUUUUGACAAUGAAUCUCUUGGUUCUCGCAACGAUGAAGAACGCAGCAAAAUGCGAUAAGUAGUGUGAAUUGCAGAAUACGUGAAUCAUCGAAUCUUUGAACGCAUAUUGCACUUUUUUAGUUUACUAAAAAAGUAUGUCUGUUUGAGUAUCAGUAAAAUAUUCUCAUAAAAAUCAUUGGUAUUUUUAUGGUUAUGAGUGUUUUACAACGAUACAAGUUGUUUCACUUUAAAUUUUUUUUUUAAUAUUGAAAUUUUCUAAUUUUAAUAAUUAAAAUUGGAUAAAAUUUUCCCGUCAAAAGGAAUAUCCUAAACAAUUUUAAAUGAUUAAUUUUAGCAAAAUUUUCGAAAAAGGAAAAUUUUUAUUAAAAUAACUUGAUCUCAAAUCAGAUAAGAGUACCCGCUGAACUUAAGCAUAUCAAUAAGCGGAGGAAAAGAAACUAACAAGGAUUCCCUUAGUAACGGCGAGUGAAGCGGGAAGAGCUCAAAUUUGAAAUCUUCAAGGUUUUACCUUGACGAAUUGUAGUUUAAAGAAGUGUUUUCUGCUGAAGUUUUGGUAAAAGUUCUUUGGAAUAGGACAUCAUAGAGGGUGAGAAUCCCGUAUUUGACCAUUAUUUUCAGCUUUGUGAUACACUUUCAAAGAGUCGGAUUGUUUGGGAAUGCAGUCCAAAAUGGGUGGUAAAUUUCAUCUAAAGCUAAAUAUUGGCGAGAGACCGAUAGCGAACAAGUACCGUGAGGGAAAGAUGAAAAGAACUUUGAAAAGAGAGUUAAACAGUACGUGAAAUUGUCAAAAGGGAAGCGUUUGACACCAGUGUUGUUUUCUCGAAAAUCAAUUAAAAAUAGCUCGAUUUUGUAUUGCUGAGACCUUAAAAGCUCACUGUACAUUUUUCGUGUCUUUUUUAAUGCACUUUUCGUUUAACAAGUCAACAUCAGUUUCUUUUGUUGUAAAAGGGUCAUUGGAAGGUGGCUUUCUUUUCGGAGAAAGUGUUUAUAGCCUUUGGCCUCUGCAAUCGGAGAGACUGAGGUCUGCAGCGUAGACUCUUCGGGGUUAGAUACAUUUGUGCUAAGUUAUAGCUUUUUAUAGACAACUUGUUGACUAUAAUUAGUCUUGUAGCUUACUCGCUUAUGCUAUUU
rnacentral:misc_RNA from 1 species